AUACGGGGGGUGCAAGCGUUAUUCGGAUUUAUUGGGCGUAAAGAGCGCGUAGGCGGCUUAGUAAGUCAGAUGUGAAAGCCCGGGGCUCAACCCCGGAAGUGCAUUUGAAACUAUCAGGCUUGAGUAUGGGAGAGGGAAGUGGAAUUCCUGGUGUAGAGGUGAAAUUCGUAGAUAUCAGGAGGAACACCGGUGGCGAAGGCGACUUCCUGGACCAAUACUGACGCUGAGGCGCGAAGGCGUGGGGAGCAAACAGGAUUAGAAACCCCGGUAGUCC
rnacentral:rRNA from 1 species